rnacentral:rRNA from 1 species
CAGUCGCCACGGGAAUACGAAGGGUGCAAGCGUUAAUCGGAAUUACUGGGCGUAAAGCGUGCGUAGGCGGUGAGUUAAGUCUGCUGUGAAAUCCCCGGGCUCAACCUGGGAAUGGCAGUGGAUACUGGCUCGCUAGAGUGUGUCAGAGGAUGGUGGAAUUCCCGGUGUAGCGGUGAAAUGCGUAGAGAUCGGGAGGAACAUCAGUGGCGAAGGCGGCCAUCUGGGACAACACUGACACUGAGGCACGAAAGCGUGGGGAGCAAACAGGAUUAGAUACCCCCGUAGUCCCUGUCUCUUAUAC